UGACGUGUAUAUUGGACGUAGGAAGCGAAAUUAACACUUAUCUAACGUCUUAGUAAAGAGAGUUUUGAUAUGGAAAAUAUUAAAUAUUUAAAAUAAACAUUCCGCUAGGGGAGGUUAAAAGUGAUCAUAGCAGAGGAUGGUUUCGAUCCACCGACCUCUGGGUUAUGGGCCCAGCACGCUUCCGCUGCGCCACUCUGCUCGAUGAAGCUUUGGCUUUCGAUGGCACCCAAGCGUCCUGCAUCUUGGAAGCCUUCUGGUAGCGACCGUUGCGCGUAUGCUUCAGGAAGGACGGAGUUACGCUUUUAAUGUGCUGAGAACUUUAUUCCCGUUCACUCCUAACAAAACAACUGGCUAUGGAAGUCCUUAAGGCAUUACUUCCAUCUAGGGCAAGUCCCAAGCAGAACGGAUUCCCCAUGGAGACGAAGGAGAAGAGAGAGAAGAUGAUGUAGUCGUGCGGCCGCUGCGAGGUCACGUUGACCGGUGCCCCGGCAGGGGGGCCGAGGUACCCGUCAAAGCUCACGGUCUGCAUCGGGACUGCCACAGAGGGGUUGACUGCUAGGUACAUUGCU